GUUGAAAAUGGAUAUCGAAUUGGAAGAUACUUUAAACAAACAGUGGAAGAAUGAUAAGACCACUUUUGGAUUUCGCAUGAUGCAAAAGAUGGGCUGGAAAGGAGACACAGGUCUAGGUAA
rnacentral:ribozyme from 1 species